UACGGAGGGGGUUAGCGUUGUUCGGAAUUACUGGGCGUAAAGCGCGCGUAGGCGGACCAGAAAGUUGGGGGUGAAAUCCCGGGGCUCAACCCCGGAACGGCCUCUAAAACUCCUGGUCUUGAGUUCGAGAGAGGUGAGUGGAAUUCCGAGUGUAGAGGUGAAAUUCGUAGAUAUUCGGAGGAACACCAGUGGCGAAGGCGGCUCACUGGCUCGAUACUGACGCUGAGGUGCGAAAGUGUGGGGAGCAAACAGG
rnacentral:rRNA from 1 species